GACGAACGCUGGCGGCGUGCUUAACACAUGCAAGUCGAACGGAAAGGCCCUGCUUUUGUGGGGUGCUCGAGUGGCGAACGGGUGAGUAACACGUGAGUAACCUGCCCUUGACUUUGGGAUGACUUCAGGAAACUGGGGCUAAUACCGGAUAGGAGCUCCUGCUGCAUGGUGGGGGUUGGAAAGUUUCGGCGGUUGGGGAUGGACUCGCGGCUUAUCAGCUUGUUGGUGGGGUAGUGGCUUACCAAGGCUUUGACGGGUAGCCGGCCUGAGAGGGUGACCGGCCACAUUGGGACUGAGAUACGGCCCAGACUCCUACGGGAGGCAGCAGUGGGGAAUAUUGCACAAUGGGAGGAAGCCUGAUGCAGCAACGCCGCGUGCGGGAUGACGGCCUUCGGGUUGUAAACCGCUUUCGCCUGUGACGAAGCGUGAGUGACGGUAAUGGGUAAAGAAGCACCGGCUAACUACGUG
rnacentral:rRNA from 1 species